rnacentral:misc_RNA from 1 species
GAUGAAGAACGCAGUGAAAUGCGAUAAGUAAUGUGAAUUGCAGAAUUCAGUGAAUCAUCGAAUCUUUGAACGCAUCUUGCGCUCCUUGGUAUUCCUUGGAGCAUGCCUGUUUGAGUAUCAUGAGCAAAUCUCAAAGUCAAUUCCUUUUGUUAAUUCAAUUGGUUUUGCUUUGGACUUGGAGGUCUUGCAGAUUUUCACAGUCUGCUCCUCUUAAAUGCAUUAGCUGGAUCUCAGUAAUUAUGCUUGGUUCCACUCGGCGUGAUAAGUAUCACUCGCUGAGGACACUGUUAAAAAGGUGGCCAGGAAAAUACUGAUUGAACCGCUUCUAACGGUCUAUUAAGUUAGACAAUUACCCUUAAGUUUGAUCUCAAAUCAGGUAGGACUACCCGCUGAACUUAAGCAUAUCAAAGCGGAGGA